rnacentral:rRNA from 1 species
AAAAUUUUCACGUGGUAUCUUCAUCGGGAAGUUGUGCUAACUAAAGACAACCUUGUACGACAUAACUGGACAGGGAGUAAGAAGUGUUGCUUUUGUGCUCAUGACGAUACAAUCAAACACCUCUUUUUCCAUUGCAAAUUUCCACGUUCUACAUGGCCAGUCAUCCAAGCAAUGUCGAAUUUGUAUUCGCCCACAAGUGUUGCCAAUAUAUUUGGUCAUUGGUUGGACGGUAUUCUAAAUAGAUUCUAA